UACGAACUGUGCGAACGUUAUUCGGAAUCACUGGGCUUAAAGGGUGCGUAGGCGGCUGCCUAAGUCAGGUGUGAAAUCUCCCGGCUCAACCGGGAAACUGCGCUUGAUACUGGGCGGCUCGAGUGAGGUAGGGGUGUGUGGAACUUCCGGUGGAGCGGUGAAAUGUGUAGAUAUCGGAAGGAACGCCAGCAGCGAAAGCGGCACACUGGGCCUUUUCUGACGCGUGAGGCACGAAAGCCAGGGGAGCGAACGGG
rnacentral:rRNA from 1 species